rnacentral:rRNA from 1 species
AUUGAACGCUGGCGGCAGGCCUAACACAUGCAAGUCGAACGGUAACAGGAAGCAGCUUGCUGCUUUGCUGACGAGUGGCGGACGGGUGAGUAAUGUCUGGGAAACUGCCUGAUGGAGGGGGAUAACUACUGGAAACGGUAGCUAAUACCGCAUAACGUCGCAGGACCAAAGAGGGGGACCUUCGGGCCUCUUGCCAUCGGAUGUGCCCAGAUGGGAUUAGCUAGUAGGUGGGGUAACGGCUCACCUAGGCGACGAUCCCUAGCUGGUCUGAGAGGAUGACCAGCCACACUGGAACUGAGACACGGUCCAGACUCCUACGGGAGGCAGCAGUGGGGAAUAUUGCACAAUGGGCGCAAGCCUGAUGCAGCCAUGCCGCGUGUAUGAAGAAGGCCUUCGGGUUGUAAAGUACUUUCAGCGGGGAGGAAGGGAGUAAAGUUAAUACCUUUGCUCAUUGACGUUACCCGCAGAAGAAGCACCGGCUAACUCCGUG